GACGAAACUACAAUAUUACAAGAUUAGGGGGGUGUCUCACCCCCUAACCCCCCCCCCCCACUAGUUUCGGCCUUGCGGGUAGUACCAGAUACGUCACUAACUUUUUGUCAUAAAAUAGUCCAUUGUUUGUUUAGUAUGUGGCACAAGGAUCAUUAGACAAUAUCCAGCAGAGUAGUUUACAUCACAAGGAAGCUUUUGUUCUUUCCUGUAAAUAUCUGGCAAAUUUUUACCAGAUACUGAGUAUUUUGCCUGAUACCUGAGUAUCCAGAUCCAGCACAUCCCUACUUACGACUACCUCUGUUUCUUCGCUAGGAUUUAUUAUCAUAGUAAGAUUUGCAGAGGUUGCUGCUGCAGAUCUUACUAUGGUAAUAAUUUCUAGUGAGGUUUAAACCAAGGAAUGUCAACAAGACAAGAUAAAAGCUCUUGGCAAAGUAUGAGAGAUCUUGCAAAAGGACUCGGAUAUCGCUAACAGGCUGGAUCAACAUAUUGGUUUAUUGGGCUACACGAAGCUGCGUAUCAGGGUCAUGAUAAUAUCUUACAACUGUUGCUUAUCUAUGGUGACAACGUGGGCGCAUUGGCCAAUGGGAAUUAUACGCCAAUGGGAAUUAUACGCCAAUGGGAAUUAUACGCCAUUGCAUAUUGCUGCGUCCAUGGAUUAUGUGAAAUGCAUUAAGCAUUUAAGGUUUGUUUCUCUCAUGAGACAGUCGAUUAAGUUUCAGUAACUCAAUUAAUCCUCACAAUUUUUUGGUAGAAAUAGGUAAAGAUAAUGCUGCUGAAAAUGAAAUAAACAAAAGUCUUGACCAAAAGUACAAGGAAGCUUUCAAACAUCUGUUUCAGUGAAUGAUGUGUCGGCCAAGGCCUGUCAAGACGGAGAGAGCCACCACAGUAGAGACCUUCAGAUGAAGGACGGCAUCCAUUCAAAUAAAUUAUUGUAAAGAAACCUUAUUGUAUAUUAUCAAUCGUAUGAAUUUAUUAAAAUAAUUAUUAAUUUAGUAUUAAUAAUUCAGGAGGAAAACACAAAGAAAAAUUAUCAGCG